GUCCAAGUGGAAGAUGGACCAUUUGAGUCCUCUUCUGCUCCUACCCGAGACGGGAUACAGGGGAGGCCGGAGGCUAAAGCUCGAGUCAGUGCUGUCGUGGCAUGCCUAAAGUUUCACAGGGAUGGGGGCGCGGCUCCAGGAAACACAUUCUGACGAAGGGAGGGUUAAAGGUCUUGCUAGGUGUUUGGGAUGUUCGUGGAUGGCUGCGAUGUUUCCAACUGCGGGUGCUUCAGGAGGCAUCGCCUUGUUGUGGAACUCCACCAUUGUCAGGGCUUAGGUGUUUCCUAUCCAUUCUUAGGUUUUGCAUGCUGUGAUUCAAUUUAGAGACUCAGAUCCUUGGAUUUUUUCUGGAAUUUACUCUAGUGUCUCAAUCUUAAACCGUAAUCUUUUAUGGGAUUCA